rnacentral:rRNA from 1 species
UACGUAGGGGGCAAGCGUUGUCCGGAAUCAUUGGGCGUAAAGAGCGUGUAGGCGGCUCGGUAAGUCCGCUGUGAAAAGUCCAGGGCUCAACCCUGGAAUGCCGGUGGAAACUGUCGAGCUAGAGUCCGGAAGAGGCGAGUGGAAUUCCUGGUGUAGCGGUGAAAUGCGCAGAUAUCAGGAGGAACAACCAAUGGCGAAGGCAGCUCGCUGGGACGGUACUGACGCUGAGACGCGAAAGCGUGGGGGAGCAAACAGG